CCCUUAGAUGUCCUGGGCUGCACGCGCGCUACACUGAUGUGUCCAGUAAGCACCUAACCUCUUCCGAAGGGAACGGGUAACCUUAGCAAAGCACAUCGUGAUGGGGAUAGAUUAUUGCAAUUAUUAGUCUUGAACGAGGAAUUCCUAGUAAGCACAAGUCAUCAGCUUGUGUUGAUUACGUCCCUGCCCUUUGUACACACCGCCCGUCGCUCCUACCGAUUGGGUGUGCUGGUGAAAUGUUCGGAUCGGCCGUUUGUCGCGGUUUCCGCGGCUCGUGGCUGAGAAGUUCAUUAAACCCUCCCACCUAGAGGAAGGAGAAGUCGUAACA
rnacentral:rRNA from 1 species